AGGAUUAGGUGAGCUGUGACUGACAGCUGGUACCGCCUAUCAGAGAGUGGCAGUCUCCUUUUAAGCGGUGAUUGGCUGCUGCUCUGCAUGCGUCAUGUCCGACUUUCCCCCUGGGGGUUUGCAACGUUAGCGGCUGUGUGUUGUCUGUCGUGCUGGUGCCCUUGUGCUGUUAGUGGUGUACGUGAUGGUGUACCCUCAGUUGGCUAUGGGUUUUCCUGCUGUUGGUUAACCUGUGCCAUAAAACAGUAAAUUGUCUGGGGUGAUACCACUGUUCGGUUUCUCCCUUUCGUUUUACGCUGCGUCUCCCGUUGCGCUGUCUAUUGAUUCUCGCGCUGCAGUGUUGCGCUGCUGUCACCGACGUCAUUAUCUGUGUCCUUGCACACUGGACUGUGUACUGUCUGGUUCUGUUGUGAGCCUAACGUUUACUCUCCACGUGAGACUUUACUAUCUCAGAGCCGUGGUUCGCUCUCGGUGUGAGAAACGAGUCGCUUUCCAUUGGCUCUGUUUUUAAUGCAUCACUUACGUCUUUUUGUUUGUUAUCUUAUUUUUGGAGAUUAUCAAUUGUGUUUGUAAACCUGUUUGUUUGGGUAAUGUGCAAUGCUGUCGACAUUCUGUAUUGCUCAUUCUAGCUGGUUCUUGAGAACCUUGCUUUGUCCGUAGAUGUGACUGAUUAAUUGUUAAUUGUAUCUUUUCUAUUGUUUAUUAUUUCCUUUUGGUUUGGACUAGUAUAAUUCAUUUCUUUAAUUGUUAUAACUUUAUUUCUUUUAUUGUUUGUGGUGGUUGUCAGCUUGGUGAAAUAAGGCUGGUCGCCACCAUUUUGUUUGUAUGACCCAAUUAUUCAUAUUGUUUUGAUUUGUUGCAGGAGCUGGGGUCCCACGGGUGGAUGGAUCUGUCCGGUGGUGGUACUUCCUCCUCAGUGGGUGCUGUGUAACACUUGAAGUGUGUGGUUGUGUAAUCUGAGUGCACUGUGGUGUGUGUGUGUGUGUGCCUUUUUGUAAACACCAGUCGUGAUUAAGUGAUUCUUCUCGCUGGGAACCUCAGCCCUGCUGGUUAUUAUGUUUGUUUUGUUCUCAUUCACCUUCAUUUUGAGUGUGUGAUUGUGAUGCAUUUCCAAGUGGAGUGACUGUAUGUUUGGGAGUGCUCAUUUUAAAGGGGUUAUGUGUAAAUAAAAGUCUAUUUUUUUGUACUAUACCCACG